GAAUCGUCCAAACGUUGUUCGGAUUCACUGGGUUUAAAGGGCGCGUAGGCGGUGCGUUAAGUCGGCGGUGAAAUACUUCGGCUCAACCGGAGAAUUGCCGCUGAAACUAGCGUGCUCGAGGGAGGUAGAGGUGCGUGGAACUUCCGGUGGAGCGGUGAAAUGCGUUGAUAUCGGAAGGAACACCUGUGGCGAAAGCGAUGCACUGGACCUCUUCUGACGCUGAGGCGCGAAAGCCAGGGGAGCGAACGGGAUUAGAUACCCCGGUAGUCCUGGCCAUAAACGAUGGGGACUAGAGAGUAGAUGCUCCGAUGUGUUUACUCUCGAAGCAAAAGUGCUAAGUCCCCCACCUGGGGAGUAUGGUCGCAAGGCUG
rnacentral:rRNA from 1 species